rnacentral:rRNA from 1 species
CACGGAUCCAGAGUUUGAUUCUGGCUCAGGACGAACGCUGGCGGCGCGCCUAACACAUGCAAGUCGAACGGAGUUUGUUGGAUUGAUCCUUCGGGUGAUUGAAAAUAAACUGAGUGGCGGACGGGUGAGUAACACGUGAGCAACCUGCCUUUCAGAGGGGGAUAACGUCUGGAAACGGACGCUAAUACCGCAUAACGUACCGAGUGGGCAUCCACUUGAUACCAAAGGAGCAAUCCGCUGAAAGAUGGGCUCGCGUCCGAUUAGGCAGUUGGCGGGGUAACGGCCCACCAAACCGACGAUCGGUAGCCGGACUGAGAGGUUGAACGGCCACAUUGGUACUGAGACACGGCCCAGACUCCUACGGGAGGCAGCAGUGGGGGAUAUUGCACAAUGGGGGAAACCCUGAUGCAGUGACGCCGCGUGAGGGAAGAAGGUUUUCGGAUUGUAAACCUCUGUCUUUAGUGACGAAGAUGACGGUAGCUAAAGAGGAAGCCACGGCUAACUACGUGCCAGCAGCCGCGGUAAUACGUAGGUGGCAAGCGUUGUCCGGAAUUACUGGGUGUAAAGGGAGCGUAGGCGGGAAGACAAGUCGGGUGUCAAAUCUAUCGGCUCAACUGGUAGCAGCACUCGAAACUGCCUUUCUUGAGUGAAGUAGAGGUAAGCGGAAUUCCUAGUGUAGCGGUGAAAUGCGUAAAUAUUAGGAGGAACACCAGUGGCGAAGGCGGCUUACUGGGCUUUAACUGACGCUGAGGCUCGAAAGUGUGGGUAGCAAACAGGAUUAGAUACCCUGGUAGUCCACACCGUAAACGAUGAUUACUAGGUGUUGGAGGAUAGACCCCUUCAGUGCCGCAGUUAACACAAUAAGUAAUCCACCUGGGGAGUACGACCGCAAGGUUGAAACUCAAAGGAAUUGACGGGGGCCCGCACAAGCAGUGGAGUAUGUGGUUUAAUUCGACGCAACGCGAAGAACCUUACCAAGUCUUGACAUCCCCUGACGAUGCUGGAAACAGUAUUUUCCUUCGGGACAGAGAGACAGGUGGUGCAUGGUUGUCGUCAGCUCGUGUCGUGAGAUGUUGGGUUAAGUCCCGCAACGAGCGCAACCCUUAUGGAUAGUUACUACGCAAGAGGACUCUAUUCAGACUGCCGUUGACAAAACGGAGGAAGGUGGGGAUGACGUCAAAUCAUCAUGCCCUUUAUGACUUGGGCUACACACGUACUACAAUGGCGUUCAACAAAGAGAAGCGAAAUCGCGAGAUGGAGCAAAACUCAAAAACAACGUCCCAGUUCAGAUUGCAGGCUGCAACUCGCCUGCAUGAAGUCGGAAUUGCUAGUAAUCGCAGAUCAGCAUGCUGCGGUGAAUACGCUCCCGGGCCUUGUACACACCGCCCGUCACACCAUGAGAGCCGGGGGGACCCGAAGUCGGCAGUCUAACCGCAAGGAGGACGCCGCCGAAGGUAAAACUGGUGAUUGGGGUGAAGUCGUAACAAGGUAGCCGUAAGCUUCAC